CCAACGACAUAAUAGAUAUAUAUCAUUGUACUUGCCCUGUCACACACCUUCAGAACCUACGUGUACUGAUAUGACAUUUCUUAUUAUUUUUUUUUACUAUCUAAGUAAUACUGUGACUCUCCAGUUUUCAUAAAGAUCAACUAUUCCAGGACUAUUAUAUUUCUGGUACGCUUAACCUUUUAAAUCUGUCGAGUCUAUUCAUCAUCCAAAAUACUAUAGUCUGAUUAAGAAAUUUAGUCUUACUAUAUCUUAUAUAUGGAAUUAUUCUAAAUUUUUGAAGUGUCAUAUUUUUUCCCACUUUAAGCUCUGACAUUCUCGUCAGGUUCAAAUACACUCACAAGUAUCAUGCGAUAUGAGAUUCGUCUCGCUAGUUUUAGCCGACCUUAUAGGGAGCCACCUGCCCGUUAUGUGACUCUAGCUCAAUCGAAAUUUAUCUCAUGUUUUUGAUUGAUGAUUUGCUGUGAUACUAAUUGUAAUGCCCCACUUACGAGAGAGUUACUCAGUUACGAGGUUUAGUUAUAGUAUAUCUUAUAUAUAGAACUAUUUCAAAUCCUAGGACUGUUAUAAAUAUUCUAUCUGUAAAUUGAAUUAUUGUUUUCGUGAAUUGAAUUGUAAUAGUCAUCUAA
rnacentral:lncRNA from 1 species